CUUCUGUGAUGACCUCCAUUUUGAGCCAUCGUGUCUGGGCCACUGACACACUAUGAUGGAGUUUGAGGAUCUGAGCAG